GCCUCGGUGGCCUAGUGGUUAGGGCAUCUGCCUCGUAAGCAGAGGAUCGCGGGUUCGAACUCAUCUGUGAGUGUCACAGACGAAGAAACUCCCGCCCGGGGCUCCA
rnacentral:tRNA from 1 species